AGUGAACGCUGGCGGCGUGCCUAAUACAUGCAAGUCGAACGCAGUGGCGCACGGGUGAGUAAUCUAUAGUUAAUCUGCUCUACACCGAGGCCCAACAGUUGGAAACGCCCGUUAAUACCUCAUAGGGUAGGAUGAUACUAUAUCGUAUCAGCUAGUUGGUAAGGUAAUGGCUAACCAAGGCUAUGACGCGUAACUGGUCUGAGAGGAUGAGCAGUCACAUUGGAACUGAGGCACGGUCCAGACUCCUACGGGAGGCAGCAGUAGGGAAAAUGGCGCAAUGGGGGAAAGCCUGAAGCAGCAACGCAGCGUGAAGGAUGACACUUUGAGGAGCGUAAACUCCUUUUAUCAGGAAAGCGGUACCUGAUGAAUAAGCAACGGCUAACUUCGUGCCAGCAGCCGCGGUAAUUC
rnacentral:rRNA from 1 species